CGGAUCCUAGGAAUGUUAUGUAUGGCUUUGUUGCAGGUACCACCACCUUUUCUAUGUAUACUCCUGGGUUGAUCUGUAUGAUGACACGUUGGGUGUUGUUGUCCGGGAUGGAGUCGACGGCGGCUUGGACGGAGAGGAAGUCGCCGGAGCCGUUGGCGUCGACGGUGAUGGUGCGUUGGCCGGAGGGGCCGACCCAUUUGUGGUGGUGUGGGGUAGUGGAGUUGAUGACGCAGGAAAGGGAGGUUGGUAGGAGGAGGAGGAGAGUAAGG
rnacentral:misc_RNA from 1 species